GACGAACGCUGGCGGCGUGCUUAACACAUGCAAGUCGAACGGAAAGGCCCUGCUUGCAGGGUACUCGAGUGGCGAACGGGUGAGUAACACGUGGGUGAUCUGCCCUGCACUUCGGGAUAAGCCUGGGAAACUGGGUCUAAUACCGGAAAGGAGCCAUUUUUAGUGUGAUGGUUGGAAAGUUUUUUCGGUGUAGGAUGAGCUCGCGGCCUAUCAGCUUGUUGGUGGGGUAAUGGCCUACCAAGGCGGCGACGGGUAGCCGGCCUGAGAGGGUGGACGGCCACAUUGGGACUGAGAGACGGCCCAGACGCCGACGGGAGGCAGAAGUGGGGAAUAUUGCACAAUGGGCGCAAGCCUGAUGCAGCGACGCCGCGUGGGGGAGGACGGCCUUCGGGUUGUAAACUCCUUUCGCUAGGGACGAAGCUUUUUGUGACGGUACCUAGAUAAGAAGCACCGGCUAACUACGUG
rnacentral:rRNA from 1 species